AGCACAGCACAGCACAGCACAGCACAGCACAGCACAGCACAGCACAGCACAGCACAGCACAGCACAGCACAGCACCUAGAGUGGAGCAAGGCUGGAGAAAGGCCAGAGCAGCUGGGGAGCUCCACCCUGGCAAACCUCCAGGCUGCAGACCUUGUUAAAGGCCAAGAAGGCUCAGCACAUCUGACUGUCACACACUCUCCAUGCACUUGGGAUGUUAUUCUACCUUUAUCAUUGCUAAAGUCCCUUUCAGAUGACCACUUCCUUUAAAGGUAUCAAGCCCCCUUCCUUGCAACUGGAGUGCAAAGGAGAGGGAAGGGAGGCUCCUCUAGAGUCUUGUUAGUCCUGGAGACCUGAAGAAAUCUGUCCAGCAUAUUGGCUCCCUGCUCUUUGUAGGAGCCCAUUAAAGCUCCCAGCAAAGCACUGCCAAUACCACACAGCGCACCUUAAAAGGAAAGAAGACACUCCAAAACUGCAUGUUGAAUCAAUGGAGUAAGAAGGUCCUCAGCUGGCUGGAGCUGGAAUUUUGUGGUCAGGGCUAAUCACUGACUUUGUCAGGAAGUCAAGGUGAUGGGAAGAUAGUAUUGAACAAACAAGAUUAAUCUGGACAAUGGAAGGAAAGACUGCUAGAGCUAAACAUCACCAGCCUAGAAAAAAAGGCACCAAGGCAAGAUUCUAUUAUGCUGUGUGUGUAAGUAUCUAUGGAAGUUGCUGCUCAACCAACUGUGGCCAUAAUCUGAAACUAAAGAAGGCAAGGCUUAUGGUAGAUGGUUUCCUAGUCAAGGCCUGAGUCUUCUCUACACUAGGAAAAUGACCUGCUGCUGAAAAUGGUUGUUAGCAAAGGAAAGUCUCAAUCACACGUUCUGUAAUGGAGCUGAAAAUAGUUUUAUUUUAUCUGCACUAGCAGUUAAACCAUCUUCAGCAAUGGGUCAAUUUCCACAGGAGACAUUACCAUACAUGUCUGGUUCUGCUUGUUAAGAGAGCGGGUCCCUCUUGCAGCAAGACAGGGUAUAGACUAUAUGACCCUUCCCGUCACAAAAUUAUCUUGUUUCUCUGUCACCCUUGGUUCAGGGUACUUUUUCUAAUGAUGCCUACAAGGAUGUGAGCUCAUCAGUCUAUCUGUCUAUUCAGCACAGCCUUGUUACAUUCCAUUUCAAUGUGUUUUUCCAUUUCUGUUGUAAAUGUAAAUCCUGUCCUGCAGAAUAUCUACAAAUGACUGUAUGCCAUAUGCUAGUCAUUCCUUCCAGAGCAGGAAUCUGAAUCUUAAGCAAUGGCCUCAGCUACUACAAGAUCAUUGAAGAAAUUAAUAAUAGAAUGAAUUAUAAAAAGGCUAUUUGAUUUACUUUGCUCUGUAUUUAGAGCUUGGGUAUAAGUCUGUAAUUUGGAUUCAAAUUAAAGACCAUGUUAUCAAUUCUAA